rnacentral:rRNA from 1 species
UACGGGGGGGGCAAGCGUUGUUCGGAAUUACUGGGCGUAAAGGGCUCGUAGGUUGCCAACUAAGUCAGACGUGAAAUCCCUCGGCUUAACCGGGGAACUGCGUCUGAUACUGGAUGGCUUGAGUUCGGGAGAGGGAUGCGGAAUUCCAGGUGUAGCGGUGAAAUGCGCAGAUAUCAGGAGGAACACCGGUGGCGAAGGCGGUUCUCUGGGCAUGAUCUGACGCUGAGGAGCGAAAGUGUGGGGAGCGAACAGG